AAAUCGAUCACACUAACACAAAUUGAGUGAGCCUAUGGCUUUGCAGUUUGUUUAUUAUAGGCCUACUGAAAUGAGAUUUUCUUAUUCAAACAGGGAUAGCAGGUCCAUUCUAUGUGUCAUACUUGAUCAUUUCGCGAUAUUGCCAUAUUUUUGCUGAAAGGAUUUAGUAGAGAACAUCGACGAUGAAGUUCGCAACUUUUGGUCGCUAAUAAAAAAGCCUUGCCUUUACCGGAAGUCGCAGACGAUGUGCGCGUGACGUCACGGGUUGUAUGGCUCCUCACAUCCUCACAUUGUUUAAAAUGCGAGCCUCAAGCAGCAAAAGCUAUUCGGACCGAGAAAGCGACAAUUUCCCCAUUAAUUUGAGCAAGCAUGAAAGAUUUGUGGAUGAAGAAAUUUAGAGUGAAGGACUAGAAAAAAAAAAGGCGAUUGCAGUGGAAGCGAUUCAGAUGUUAUUAGACACAUUUACUAGGAUAAUUCUGGAAAAUCCCUUAUCUGCCUAUUGUGUUGCUAAUGUUUUAGUGAGAUCAAAUAGUACCUGAAAGUCGGAGGGGUGUGGCCACGGGUGUGUUGACCGCGACUGUCUCUGAGGAAGUCACGCAGCUGCAGCAGGACGGAAGCUCCGCUGAUGUCUCCGCCGCCGAACGGGCAGCAGUGCCGCUUCUCCGCGGACUGAUCCCCUGUCCUCCUUUUCCGCCGGUUCGGUCCGGGUCCCGCCGCGGCGUCUGCCUCCGCCGCGGCCGACCGGCGAACGACCCUCUCGGCCGGCUUCUCCUCGUCGUCCGCCGCGCUCACCACCACGCCGGCGGGGCGGCAUUUGUUCAAGUCCAGCAAAAUCAUCGCCACCAUCAGCAAAGUUCGGCUCUCCUGGUUCUCUUUCGGGAGCGGAGCCCCGUCCGCGGAGACGAGCUCGGACAUGAUACGGAGGCUUCGACAGUAACAACAACAACACGUCCGGCGGCUAAGCGAUUGUAUCCAUCUGUGUCUCCACGUGUGUCAACUUGUCCUCUUUUUUUUUCCACUUCUGUCCUCGCUCUCCCAAGAAACGAUUUCGCGGAAUCCCACGGCGUCAUCGUGGAUCGGAGCGCUCAUUGGGCAGCAAGGAAACGUGACGAGAUACGUGCGGUCCCGUGUGUGUGUGUUUUUUUAUUUUUUUCCCGAAGUACACGGAAGUGAGCGACGAGCCUUCUGACCAAUCAAAAGACGAGGUUGGAGGGUAAAAAGUGGGCCGGGCUUUGCUGGUGAUGCAUUCAAGGACAAACGUUGACUGGUAUUUUUUUUUUUUAGUUAAGUCUUUAUUUGAAGGGACAAUGCACAGAGACAUUGAACUCAAGGACAGAUAUAAUAAUAAUAAUCAAUCAAUCAAUCAAUGUUUACUUAUAUAGCCCUAAAUCACUAGUGUUUCAAAGGGCUGCACAAACCACUACGACAUCCUCGGUAGGCCCACAUAAGGGCAAGGAAAACUCACACCCAGUGGGACGUCGGUGACAAUGAUGACUAUGAGAACCUUGGAGAGGAGGAAAGCAAUGGAUGUCAAGCGGGUCUAACAUGAUACUGUGAAAGUUCAAUCCAUAAUGGAUCCAACACAGUCGCAAGAGUCCAGUCCAAAGCGGAUCCAACACAGCAGCGAGAGUCCCGUUCACAGCGGAGCCAGCAGGAAAACAUCCCAAGCGGAGGCGGAUCAGCAGCGCAGAGAUGUCCCCAGCUGAUACACGGCGAGCAGUACAUGGCCACCGGAUCGGACAGGACCCCCUCCACAAGGGAGAGUGGGACAUAGGAAAAAAGAAAAGAAACGGCAGAUCAACUGGUCUAAAAAGGGAGUCUAUUUAAAGGCGAGAGUAUACAAAUGAGUUUUAAGGUGAGACUUAAAUGCUUCUACUGAGGUGGCAUCUCGAACUUUUACCGGGAGGGCAUUCCAGAGUACUGGAGCCCGAAAUGAAAACGCUCUAUAGCCCACAGACUUUUUUUGGGUUUUGGGAAUCACUAAUCACUAAUCCUUUGAACGCAGAUUUCUUGCCGGGACAUAUGGUACAAUACAAUCGGCAAGAUAGGAUGGAGCUACACCGUGUAGUAUUUUAUACGUAAGUAGUAAAACCUUAAAGUCACAUCUUAAGUGCACAGGAAGCCAGUGCAGGUGAGCCAGUACAGGCGUAAUGUGAUCAAACUUUCUUGUUCUUGUCAAAAGUCUAGCAGCCGCAUUUUGUACCAACUGUAAUGUUUUAAUGCUAGACAUGGGGAGACCCGAAAAUAGUAUGUUAAUAAUGUACGUAAUAAUGAUAAUAAUAAUAAUAAUAACUUAGAUUUAUAUCGCGCUUUUCUAAACACUCAAAGCGCUCACAGAGAUACGGGACUCAACAUUUAUUCACACCUGGUGGUGGUAAGCUGCCCUGGGGUAGACUGACGGAAGCGUGGCUGCCAGUUUGCGCCUACGGCCCCUUUGACCACCACCUAUCAUCCAUUCAUCAUUCAUUCACUGUUUGUUUGUAAAUGUUGAAAAUUAUAAAUAAAAGUUAAAAACAAAAAAAAA